UGUUGCUGGGUCUUUCAGUUUCUUGAGAGGAUUUCUGUCAAUCUGUUUGCAUCAGUAGUUUGUGUUUCCCAAUAUUGUUUUGUCAUAAAAUCUGCUUAAAUUUGAUGAACGAUCUGCACUUUUUCUUUCUAGUAUCUCCUCCUUAUCUAAUUUUUCUCGUCUCUUCUUGUUCACAAUUUCAAUAAUCUAGGAACUCGGCGAUUCAUUGAAGGUGAAAUCCCCUUGAUUUCUGUGCACCUUCGUGAGCUGGCUGUACCUACACCUCAGUUCCAACAUGAAUAUCAUGUGAUCGUCGGGAUACAUUCGAACGAGUUUAGGCGUCUUAUCACUUAUCUGGGCCAUUUCGGAGUGUUAGUUGCUGCACAUGUAACAGAUACUAAAGUUAAGUUCUCACCGAAUCGAGGUCGUCACGAGAAAACUGAAGACAAAGCUGGCGACUCUGCCUAAGCGAGGUCCUCAACUCUUCUCUCUGCUUGCCCAAAACUGAUAUGCAGAGAGGUAAUCGUUGCGAAAUUGAUGAUGGGUCCAGCCUCCAUGAUGUAGUGGUCACCAAAUUGAGUGGAAUUUAGUUUGAUUUGUUGGAAUUGUGUGAACGACGACAUUUGAGUUGGUGGAGAAAGGAAGUGUAAAGAGGAUGCGUUGAAAAUUUGGAAACAUCAAGGGAUUCUUUUGGCAGAGGAGUUGAAGGGUUAGAAGCAGUUAGGUGCACAAAUGGCAAGGAAGGUGCAC